rnacentral:sRNA from 10 species
GUCCGCGUGAGGAAAAAACGCCACACGGAGUGGAAACAAGGACACACUCCCUAGAAGCGUUUUAGAG